rnacentral:misc_RNA from 1 species
ACGGCUUCCAUUUCUACCAAAUUCACUAAGAAAAUUCUUUUCUUUUGAAAAAAAUUAAGCAAUAGCUUAUACUGCAUCUUCUACUCCAAAAUGGGAAGGUCUCCUUGCUGUGAAAAAGCUCAUACAAAUAAAGGUGCAUGGACCAAAGAAGAAGAUGAUCGCCUUAUUGCUUAUAUUAGAGCUCAUGGUGAAGGUUGCUGGCGUUCUCUUCCCAAAGCUGCAGGCCUUCUUAGAUGUGGCAAAAGUUGCAGACUCCGUUGGAUCAACUAUCUAAGACCUGACCUUAAACGUGGCAAUUUUACCGAAGAAGAAGAUGAACUCAUUAUCAAACUGCACAGCCUCCUUGGCAACAAAUGGUCUCUUAUAGCUGGGAGAUUACCAGGAAGAACAGAUAAUGAGAUAAAGAAUUAUUGGAACACACAUAUAAGAAGAAAGCUUUUGAGCAGAGGAAUAGAUCCUGCAACCCACAGGCCACUUAACGAGCCGGCACAGGAAGCAGCAGCAAAGACGACGACAAAAACAAUAUCUUUCAGCCACGUUAAAGAAGAAAAAGACAAGAUUAGCUGCACAACUACAGUUGUAUGUAAAGAAGGAAAAAACCCAAUUCAAGAAAGGUGUCCAGACUUGAAUCUUGAGCUUAAAAUCAGCCUUCCAUAUCAAAGCCAGCAGCCAGAGCCGAUGAAAACUGGAGCGAGAGGUCUUUGUUUUGCUUGCAGGCUGGGGCUACAAAACAGCAAAGACUGCAGUUGCAAUUUGGGUCCUAGUAUUGGAAGCAGUAGUAGCAGUAGCAACUCUGGCUAUGACUUCUUAGCCAUGAAAAGUGGUGUUUUGGACUAUAGAAGCCUGGAAAUGAAAUAAGAUAUGGAACUAUUCUUGAUCUUGUAGAAGAAAAGAAAUGGAGAGAAAUGAGAAAGGGAUUGCUAUUAGAUUGAAAAUCUCUCUAAUUUCUCUUAUUUUUCUUUAAUCUGUAUGAUUAUUAGAGCAUAAAUU